GAUGAACGCUAGCGGCAGGCCUAACACAUGCAAGUCGAGGGGCAGCACAGAAACAGCAAUGUUUUGGUGGCGACCGGCGGACGGGUGCGUAACGCGUAUGCAACCUACCUUUAACAGGGGGAUAACGGAGAGAAAUUUCCACUAAUACCCCAUAACAUCGAUCAAGGCAUCUUGAUUGGUUGAAAACUCCGGUGGUUAAAGAUGGGCAUGCGUUGUAUUAGGUAGUUGGUGAGGUAAUGGCUCACCAAGCCUACGAUACAUAGGGGGACUGGGAGGUUAACCCCCCACAGUGGUACUGAGACACGGACCAGACUCCUACGGGAGGCAGCAGUGAGGAAUAUUGGUCAAUGGGGGCAACCCUGAACCAGCCAUGCCGCGUGCAGGAAGUCGGCUCUAUGAGUUGUAAACUGCUUUUAAACAGGGAUAAAGCACAGUAUGUAUACUGUGUUGAAGGUACUGUAAGAAUAAGGAUCGGCUAACUCCGUGCCAGCCGCCGCCGUAA
rnacentral:rRNA from 1 species